ensembl:lncRNA
GUAAGAUUUAAAUAAGCGCUCAUUUAAACAUGAAUGUUAAUCCAAAUGUUAAUGAAAAUGUUAGGAUCAUAGUCCUCAGUAAGUGCAGCAGUUCUUGAAACAUUCAUGAACGUGGUUAAGAAAAUUAUCGCCUCAGAUCAGGACCUUGAAACAUAGCUGGGAUUUUUUGCCUUCAAAAUGCGGCAGGGUUUAUCUCAAGAGCUGACAGUGACUAUUUUGAAGUAACAGUAUUGUAUGUUAAAUGUAGAACUAAUGAUCUGAUUAUGCUUCGGUGCUUCAGAGUUUGGGGAUUCGACCAGCUUUGCUUAAAUUUAGACAGUACUGAGGUUGAUGUUACGAUACAUCAUGAACAGAGAAAUGUAGACGUGAGAGAAAAAGACAGAUAAACGGAGAGAAAGCACCGGUGCGUCAUAUGUUUUGCUAUGUGAGUCAUCACAAAAAGCUCAACGAUGAGCAGCCCCACCCUUCUCUACCAAUCAGAUACGUCAAGCACAAGGAGCCUUCAGGGCUUUCGUGUACACAAGCCAUCAGUCUUGAAGUGUGUGUGUGUUUUAAAAGAGAUUUUUUUUUUUUAAAUCCCACCAAGACGAGACAAUUUUGGAAGGUGUACAUUGUGAAAGUCUGGUGCACUUAAUGGACUGUUUGGCGUACGUGCCAGCAUUAAAGGUUCCAUCUUCAUUGCUCCUCGUGAGAAAUCCUCAUACUCUACAACAGAUGGGGUUUCCCUUUUAAUAGAUGGUUCCAAGCAGAAGCUCUUUUUUAAAUCUAAGAACUCGUAACUAUACAAUAACCUUAAACAGGAUUUUCUUUUUUACAUGACUGUAGGCAUGGGACCAGGUCCGAUGGAGAGACCUCAUCACAUGAAACAUUUAGCACUGGGUGGAAAAACAAAUCACACUGUAAAACUGUAAACGCGGGCAUACGGAGAGAUUCAACUGUAGCCGAACCUACAGUCGUUAUUCCACCCUCUAUAGAGAUGCUGAAUAUCCCACAAACAGUUACGUAAUGUUUGUGAAAGGGCACCAAGCCAGAACUGCUGGAGACAGACAACUUAUUGACUUGUGCUGGGUGACUAAUGUCAUGACGUCACGUGAGAAAUUGAGCUCCAAUUAUUAUCGAGGAAAUAAGGGCAUGUUGGCAAGUGUUCAUGGAAACACCAAACCAGUCAAAUGGUGAUAAGGCGGGACUGCAUGUACAGUUGUUGGAGCCCAGAAAAAGAUAAACAUGAUUUGAGUGCUUCUAAGACCUACAUUAUAUUGUUCUUCAUGGUUUAGGUCAUUUUAUGACUUGUGCAUGGUCUCAGAACCAUGUUUAUCAGUUUGGAAAAGUGUUUUUCUUUUGAAAAGGAUUUCGAUCUAGAUAGUGAGUUGAGUAUACAGGUGCAUCUCAAAUAUCGUUUUUCUAUAAUUUAAUUCAAAAAGUGGAACUUUCAUAUAUUAUAGAUUCAUUACACAUGAAGUGAAAUAUUUCAAGCCUUUUUUGUUUUAAUCUUGAUGAUUACGGCUUACAGCUCACAGAAAUAAAAAAAUCCAGUAUCUCAAAAUAUUCGAAUAAAGAAUUUAUAAUACAGAAAUGUCGACCUGAGAAGAGCUCUAAUCAGCUAAUUAACUCAAAACACCUGCAACGGUUUCCUGAGCCUUUAAAAAGAACUGGACCGUUGCUUGGUGGUCCAAAGUCCUCUUUUCAGAUGAAAGUAAAUGUUGCGUUUCAUUUGGAAAUCAAGGUCCCAGAGUCUGGAGUAAGAGUGGAGAGACACAGAAUCCAAGUAGCUUGAAGUCCAGUGUGAAGUUUCCACAGUCAGUGAUGAUUUGAGGUGCCAUGUCAUCUGCUGGUGUUGGUCCACUGUGUUUUCUCAAGUCGAGAGUCAAUGCAGCCGUCAAUCAGGAGAUUUUAGAGCAGUUCAUGCUUCCAUCUGCUGACGAACUUUAUGGAGAUGCUGGUUUCCUUUUCCAGCAGGACUUGGCCUGUUUCUGCCCACAGUGCCAAAACUACUAGUAACUGAUUUGCUGACCAUGGUGUUACUGUGCUUGAUUGGCCAGACAACUCGCCUGACCCGAACCCCAUAGAGAAUCUAUGAGAGACACCAGAUCCAACAAUACAGAGGAGCUGAAGGCCGCUAUCAAAGCAACCUGGGCUUCCCGAACACCUCAGCAGUGCCACAGGCUGAUUGCCUCCAUGCCACGUCACACUGAUGCAGUAAUUCCUGCAAAAGGAUUAAAGCCCCGACCGAGUAUUGCGUGCACAAAUUAACAUACUUUUCAGAAGGUUGACAUUUCUGUAUUAUAAAUUCUUUAUUCUCAUAUUUUGAGAUACUGGAUUUUUGAUUUCUGUGAGCUGUAAGCCGUGAUCAUCAAGAUUAAAUCAAAAACAGGCUUGAAAUAUUUUACUUUAUGUGUAAUGAAUCUAGAAUAUAUGAAAGUUCCACCUUUUGAAUUAAAUUACAGAAAAAAUGAAUUUUUCCACGAUAAUCAAAUUUUUUCAGCUACACAUGUACCAUCAAACAAGGCAGUCUCUUUCUCAGGUCCAAGGUAACAUAUAAUUAUGCAUCAAGUUAGGAAUAAAACACUGGGGGGGAGUGGGGUCGAAUGAUCAUCGACGGGGUAGUGUGAUGAAGCUUAAUGCGAAAGUCUUAACAACACCCAGAACAACAUAUCCUGAAGUUCUUUAAUCCUCUGUCACAAGUUUGUUCCUGUUAUUACUUACGAACAGUUCUUCCCUCACUAGCCUUUGUCCUGAAGACUUUUCUAUGAUGGAAAACUUGCCGACUGUUAUAAAGCGCUGACACUGGAGACGUUACAUAAAAGUCUCGCAGAAGAACAUCACCAUGUCCACAAUAACAAGUCAGGAUCGAGAAUUCAACAACGCUGUGGUGUAAGAGAUGGCACCAGGAUGCACUAUGGGUAGAAGGCAAGCCGGCAGAGGCAGUUGUUCUGCUGGGAAACCUCGGGUCCUGGCAUUCAUGUGGAUGUUACGUUGACACAUAGUACCUACCUAAACACUGUUGCAGUGUUUUACUGCAAGUACACCCAAGUACCAAGUACACCCCUUCAUGGUAAUGGUAUUCCCUAAUAGCAGUGGCCUCUUUCAGCAGGAUAAUGCUCCCUGCCACACUGCAUAAAUUCUUCAGGAAUGGUUUGAGGAAUAUGACAAAGAGUUCAAGGUGUUGACUCGGCCUACAAACUCCCCAGAUCUCAAUCCGAUCGAGCAUCUGUGGGAUGUGCUGGUCCAAUCCACAGAGGUCCAUCUCACAACUUACA